rnacentral:rRNA from 1 species
AGAGUUUGAUCAUGGCUCAGAUUGAACGCUGGCGGCAUGCCUUACACAUGCAAGUCGAACGGUAACGCGGGGCAACCUGGCGACGAGUGGCGAACGGGUGAGUAAUACAUCGGAACGUGCCCAGUAGUGGGGGAUAGCCCGGCGAAAGCCGGAUUAAUACCGCAUACGACCUACGGGUGAAAGCAGGGGAUCGCAAGACCUUGCGCUAUUGGAGCGGCCGAUGUCAGAUUAGGUUGUUGGUGGGGUAAAAGCCCACCAAGCCGACGAUCUGUAGCUGGUCUGAGAGGACGACCAGCCACACUGGGACUGAGACACGGCCCAGACUCCUACGGGAGGCAGCAGUGGGGAAUUUUGGACAAUGGGCGCAAGCCUGAUCCAGCCAUGCCGCGUGCGGGAAGAAGGCCUUCGGGUUGUAAACCGCUUUUGUCAGGGAAGAAACGCUCUGGGCUAAUACCCCGGGGUAAUGACGGUACCUGAAGAAUAAGCACCGGCUAACUACGUGCCAGCAGCCGCGGUAAUACGUAGGGUGCAAGCGUUAAUCGGAAUUACUGGGCGUAAAGCGUGCGCAGGCGGUUUUGUAAGACAGAGGUGAAAUCCCCGGGCU